GAUGAACGCUGGCGGUAUGCUUAACACAUGCAAGUCGAACGGACUCUUCGGAGUUAGUGGCGGACGGGUGAGUAACGCGUGAGAAUCUGGCUUUGGGUUCGGGACAACCACUGGAAACGGUGGCUAAUACCGGAUGUGCCGAGAGGUAAAAGAGAAAUUGCCUGAAGAUGAGCUCGCGUCUGAUUAGCUAGUUGGUGAGGUAAAGGCUCACCAAGGCAGCGAUCAGUAGCUGGUCUGAGAGGAUGACCAGCCACACUGGGACUGAGACACGGCCCAGACUCCUACGGUAGGCAGCAGUGGGGAAUUUUCCGCAAUGGGCGAAAGCCUGACGGAGCAAUACCGCGUGAGGGAAGAAGGCUCUUGGGUUGUAAACCUCUUUUCUUAGGGAAGAAUAAAAUGACGGUACCUAAGGAAUCAGCAUCGGCUAACUCCGUG
rnacentral:rRNA from 1 species